rnacentral:tRNA from 1 species
AGCUCAGUUGGUAGAGCAAUCGGCUGUUAACCGAUCGGUCGGCGGUUCGAGUCCGUCC